CAGUGCGCUGUUACCUUUGGUCGGCACCCCGAGGGCGUUUCUGAGUCCCGAGAAGCACCGGUCCCAGGGGCUGGCCCGCUGCCCUCGGCUGCCCCCGGCUGCCCCCGCUGUUGCCCCUUAACCGCCCAGCACAGGGAACAUGACAGCCGCCCUGCAGGCGGCGCUGAAAGAACCCUCCCAUCAACACCAGGAGCCAGGCGGUGAAGGACCGGGCAGGCAGCAUCGUGCUGAAGGUGCUCAUCUCCUUCAAGGCCGGCGACAUAGAAAAGGCCGUGCAGUCCCUGGACAGGAACGGCGUGGACCUGCUCAUGAAGUACAUCUACAAGGGCUUCGAGAGCCCCUCCGACAACAGCAGCGCCGUGCUCCUGCAGUGGCACGAGAAGGCGCUGGCUGCAGGAGGAGUGGGCUCCAUCGUCCGUGUCCUGACUGCAAGGAUUACAUAAGGUUUCCCUUCGUGAGAAUCGGAGUGGCGCAGAGGGUCCUGUUCACACGCGCCGUGCGUCCGGCUGUGUAAGACCCCUGCCUUCAGUGUCCUUGAGCAACGGUAGCGUGUCGCCGGCUGGGUUUGGUUUUGUCGUGGAGGGAUCUGGUCAGAAUUUGAGGCCAGUUUCCUAACUCAUUGCUGGUCAGGAAAUGAUCUUCAUUUAAAAAAAAAAAAAAAGACUGGCAGCUAUUAUGCAAAACUGGACCCUCUUCCCUUAUUUAAGCAGA
rnacentral:lncRNA from 1 species